UGGGGAACAUUGGACAAUGGGCGCAAGCCUGAUCCAGCCAUGCCGCGUGAGUGAUGAAGGCCUUAGGGUUGUAAAGCUCUUUCGCCGACGAAGAUAAUGACGGUAGUCGGAGAAGAAGCCCCGGCUAACUUCGUGCCAGCAGCCGCGGUAAUACGAAGGGGGCUAGCGUUGUUCGGAAUCACUGGGCGUAAAGCGCACGUAGGCGGAUUGUUAAGUCAGGGGUGAAAGCCUGGAGCUCAACUCCAGAACUGCCCUUGAUACUGGCAAUCUCGAGUCCGGAAGAGGUAAGUGGAACUGCGAGUGUAGAGGUGAAAUUCGUAGAUAUUCGCAAGAACACCAGUGGCGAAGGCGGCUUACUGGUCCGGUACUGACGCUGAGGUGCGAAAAGCGUGGGGAGCAAAACAGGAUUAGAUACCCUGGUAGUCCACGCCGUAAACGAUGGAGGCUAGCCGUUGGCGAGCAUGCUCGUCAGUGGCGCAGCUAACGCAUUAAGCCUCCCGCCUGGGGAGUACGGUCGCAAGAUUAAAACUCAAAUGAAUUGACGGGGUCAUAGCUG
rnacentral:rRNA from 1 species